rnacentral:rRNA from 1 species
CUACGGGUCGCACCAGUAACGAAUAUUGCGCAAUGGGCGAAAGCCUGACGCAGCGACGCCGCGUGUAGGAGGAAGUCCCUCGGGAUGUAAACUACUUUUCGGGCUAAGAAAGUCUUCGGAUUGAUCUACCCCGGAAUAAGUCACGGCUAACUUCGUGCCAGCAGCCGCGGUAAGACGAAGGUGGCAAGCGUUGUUCGGUAUUACUGGGCUUAAAGCGUGUGUAGGCGGAAAUGCAAGCAUUUUGUGAAAUCCCCCGGCUCAACCGGGGAAUAGCUUGGUGAACUGCAUUUCUUGAGGCAAGUAGGGGUACACGGAGCUCUUGGUGGAGCGGUGGAAUGCGUAGAUAUCAAGAGGAACGCCGGUGGAGAAGUCGGUGUACUGGGCUUGUCCUGACGCUGAGACACGAAAGCGUGGGGAGCAAACAGGAUUAGAUACCCCUGUAGUC